GGACUUUUUCGCAGAGUCGUUUCGUUUCAAGUGUGCAGUGUUUCCACCUAGCUGCACAUGUAUGGAAAUAGCCAUGUUCUCCACAAGGGGUUGUAAAUCAUCUUGGAAGAUACACUCUCAGGGGGCUCAGCUGUCUUGACUUCGAGCAUACGCUGCUAGGAUCUCAGUUUAUGUGCAGAGAUGGAGACCACAGAUGGCGUGCAGAGCAACCCCUUCAACCUGGCACACCAAGGGCCCGUCACCGCUGUGAUCUCCGGCGAAGCAGGGACUUCGAAAUGUCUCUGAUUUCCAUUUCAGGAUUGGGCAGGUUUAUUGAGCAUUCAGGCUGUUUUUUUGGUCAAGUCUGCACUAAAAAAAACCCUGUGGACUUAUGAGCAGAACUGGAAGGACACCAUUAAAUCAUCAACUUGUUAAAACCAGUAACAGGAUGUGGGCCCACAAUUAAAACCUACACAGCAAGGGAUAAGAGCCGCAAGGGAAUUAAAAAUCUCGGUGGUCGCCUGCAGAGAUCAGACUUGAGCCUGUGGGUAAUUGUUUUCGUGUGAAAUGCAGGACCGCGCUACAGAGACCACCAACUUUUCUCUGCUAACCUCCAGAAGGUAUUUACUCAUUAUAACACUCUCACAUGAGCACACAUAUAAGCUAAAGUAGUGUUUGGACUCUGAUGUAGCAGCUGGUUGGAGGAUCAGCCAGCCCCCCUACCUCUCUCAGUCAGAUUACAGAGGCUGUAGUCUCACCACCCCACUGCCCCUCCUCUUCUUCCUGCCUUCAUCGUCUCCGCCUCACCCCCACUCACUCGUGCACUCACGCAGCCUUCAGAAUAUACAGUCUGUAAAUCUGCACCCCAUCGAGUCACACAUCUGUUUAUUAAAAGCUGCUUUCCAAAUCGGGAGCUGCAUAAUCAAAAGAAAACAAAAUAAAUGCAUGAAGAUUUGCGUAAA